rnacentral:rRNA from 1 species
UACAGAGGUCCCAAGCGUUGUUCGGAUUCAUUGGGCGUAAAGGGUGCGUAGGUGGCGUCGUAAGUCGGGUGUGAAAUCUCGGGGCUUAACUCCGAAACUGCAUUCGAUACUGCGGUGCUUGAGGACUGGAGAGGAGACUGGAAUUUACGGUGUAGCAGUGAAAUGCGUAGAUAUCGAGAGGAACACCAGUGGCGAAGGCGAGUCUCUGGACGACUCCUGACACUGAGGCACGAAAGCUAGGGGAGCAAACAGG